AUGAUGAAAAAACCAUUCAUUUUCCCUUCUAGGAUUUACAAUGACUCCAACACUAUCUUCAAAGAACUCAAAGACACUAUCCUUUCAGUGCCAAGGCUUUCGUUGACAGCAGAGCCUUUGCCUAAGGCAUGUGCUUUGCCCAAGGCCCAAAGACAUGCAGCCCAAGCUGGAGACCGUUGGGCAUUUCCCCACAUGUACCCCCACUUCACCUUCUACUGUUGUUCGACUGAAAGCUUGAAGGUUUUGACAAUCCCUCCUGAUCAGCGCAUGUGA